rnacentral:rRNA from 1 species
CCUACGGGUGGCAGCAGUGGGGAAUAUUGCGCAAUGGGCGAAAGCCUGACGCAGCGACGCCGCGUGAGGGAUGAAGGUCUUCGGAUCGUAAACCUCUGUCAGCAGGGAAGAACGGUCACUGUGCUAAUCAGCAGUGAAUUGACGGUACCUGCAAAGGAAGCACCGGCUCACUCCGUGCCAGCGGCCGCGGUAAUACGGAGGGUGCGAGCGUUAAUCGGAAUUGGUGGGCGUAAAGCGCUCGUAGGCGGUAAGUCCAGUCAAGGGGUAAAUCACCGCGCUCAACGUGGGAACUGCCUUUGAAACUGGCAAACUGGAGUGUGUGAGAGGAUAGUGGAAUUCCAGGUGUAGGAGUGA